rnacentral:tRNA from 1 species
AUGUUGGCGUAGUGGUAGCGCACUUGCCUGUUAAGUCAGGAUACGUUGGUUCGAUCCCUGUCAAAAGA